CCCGAUGAACCUGAAUAUCCGUUAUGGAAAAUUCAUCAUUAAUAUUAUUAUAUUUAAAAAUAUAAUAAAAAUAGUGUGCAAUUUUUCCAUAUAAGGACAUUGUAAUCUGUUAAUGUAUUAAAUAUUUAUCAAAAAGUCUAAAACAUAAGUUUAUUCAAAUUAGUUAUUUUCGAAUUUCUAACAUAGAAUAAUUGUAUUAGAUUCGAUAAAUCAUUGACAGAUUUUACUAUAUAUAAUGCUUAAAUUCUUUUUUGAAUUUUAUAAUUAUAGUAAAAAUUUAUUUUUAUUUAUAAUUAUAUGCAUUUAUAUGAUUAACAAUGCGAUAGAUUCAGGAUACCUUCGGGACCCGUCUUGAAACACGGACCAAGGAGUCUAACAUAUGUGCAAGUCAUUGGGUAUUUUUAAUAAAACCCAAUGGCAUAAUUAACUUAACUGUUUUUUAAUGGGAUUAGUUUAUAUUUUAUUAUGAAAUAAAAAUUCAAUCCCGGGGCGUUCUAUACAGUUAUGCAUAAUGAUAUUUAUAUUAUUUAUGCCUCUAACUAGAGCGUACCUUGAGCAUAUAUGCUGUGACCC
rnacentral:rRNA from 1 species